rnacentral:rRNA from 1 species
GAUGAACGCUGGCGGCGUGCCUAACACAUGCAAGUCGAACGGAGUCCAGCCUUUAAGACCUUCGGGUCAAAGAGGGGAAGACUGAGUGGCGGACGGGUGAGUAACACGUGGGCAACCUGGCUCAUAGAGGGGGAUAACAGAGAGAAAUUUCUGCUAAUACCGCAUAAGCACACACUGCCGCAUGGCAGAGGGUGAAAAGAGAAUCGCUAUGAGAUGGACCCGCGUCUGAUUAGCCAGUUGGCAGGGUAAGAGCCUACCAAAGCGACGAUCAGUAGCCGAUCUGAGAGGAUGACCGGCCACAUUGGGACUGAGACACGGCCCAAACUCCUACGGGAGGCAGCAGUGGGGGAUAUUGCACAAUGGGGGGAACCCUGAUGCAGCGACGCCGCGUGAGUGAAGAAGUAUUUCGGUAUGUAAAGCUCUAUCAGCAGGGAAGAUAAUGACAGUACCUGAAUAAGAAGCCCCGGCUAACUACGUG